GAAGAACGCUGGCGGCGUGCCUAAUACAUGCACGUAGAACGCAGUUGCGAACGGGUGAGUAACGCGUAGGUAACUGCCUGGUAGCGGGGGAUAACUAUUGGAAACGAUAGCUAAUACCGCAUACUACCAGAUGGACCUGAGUUGUAUUAGCUAGUUGGUGGGGUAACGGCUAACCAAGGCAACGAUACAUAGCCGACCUGAGAGGGUGAUCGGCCACACUGGAACUGAGACACGGUCCAGACUCCUACGGGAGGCAGCAGUGGGGAAUAUUGCACAAUGGGCGCAAGCCUGAUGCAGCCAUGCCGCGUGUGUGAAGAAGGCCUUCGGGUUGUAAAGCACUUUCAGCGGGGAGCGUUACCCGCAGAAGAAGCACCGGCUAACUCCGUGCCAGCCGCCGCGGUAAUAC
rnacentral:rRNA from 1 species